rnacentral:ribozyme from 1 species
ACCCCACGAUAGGCGUCGCCUCCUCGCGGCGUGGGGUGGGCAACUGCCUCCUUCGAGGCAGGCUGAGAGCGCCA